rnacentral:misc_RNA from 1 species
CCAGAAGAGACCCUAACCGGUCCUCUCAACCCUGCCCAUCGUACCUUUGUGUUGUUCCCUCGGCGAGUGCUUCGCGGCCCGCCGCGGGAAGAUCCAACAAACCUCUUUGCAAGACAAGCAUUCUAAAUCUCUGAUCAAACAUAAUUGUCA